rnacentral:lncRNA from 1 species
UCUUGGGGACGCCUGCCAUGCAAGAUGAAUGUCGGGCCAGCGCGGAGCCAGGCCUCUGGCAAAGAGCCGGCGGGAGGUCUCCACGCGUCCUGCGCAGGUUCGGUCGUUCCCGUGCACUCCAACCCGGCGUCAGGCAGCGCAUGCGGGAAGCGGCGGGUCGCCUGCGCAGGGGGCGGGCGCUGAGCUCAGCACUUUCGGCGCGCUCCCGUGCGCGCCCCCGCCGCCCCGCACAAGGUCACUGCGCGCGGCGGCCGGCGCGUCUCCCCCAGGCAGCUCCCAGGAGCCGCCCCGCGACCUUGGUUUCCAACUAAAGCAGGCUGUGUGAAGCGCGUUCGGCGCAGGAAGACCCCAGUGCCGGGCAGGAGCGCGAGAGGGGACAAUGGCGACGCCGGGCCCUAAUUGGGGACAUAUGUACCCGCGUGCAGCCAUUGUGAGGCCGCGAGCCCCGCGCCCCGCCAUUGGCCAUUGGGCCUGACGUCAUGUGGACUGCAAACUCCGGGCGGGCGGCCGCGGGAAGGGUUAUCCGCCUGUUUGCGGGGCCGUGG